rnacentral:rRNA from 1 species
AUAGGUUAAUGAGGCGAACCGGGGGAACUGAAACAUCUAAGUACCCCGAGGAAAAGAAAUCAACCGAGAUUCCCCCAGUAGCGGCGAGCGAACGGGGAGCAGCCCAGAGCCUGAAUCAGUGUGUGUGUUAGUGGAAGCGUCUGGAAAGGCGCGCGAUACAGGGUGACAGCCCCGUACACAAAAAUGCACAUGCUGUGAGCUCGAUGAGUAGGGCGGGACACGUGGUAUCCUGUCUGAAUAUGGGGGGACCAUCCUCCAAGGCUAAAUACUCCUGACUGACCGAUAGUGAACCAGUACCGUGAGGGAAAGGCGAAAAGAACCCCGGCGAGGGGAGUGAAAAAGAACCUGAAACCGUGUACGUACAAGCAGUGGGAGCACGCUUAGGCGUGUGACUGCGUACCUUUUGUAUAAUGGGUCAGCGACUUAUAUUCUGUAGCAAGGUUAACCGAAUAGGGGAGCCGAAGGGAAACCGAGUCUUAACUGGGCGUUAAGUUGCAGGGUAUAGACCCGAAACCCGGUGAUCUAGCCAUGGGCAGGUUGAAGGUUGGGUAACACUAACUGGAGGACCGAACCGACUAAUGUUGAAAAAUUAGCGGAUGACUUGUGGCUGGGGGUGAAAGGCCAAUCAAACCGGGAGAUAGCUGGUUCUCCCCGAAAGCUAUUUAGGUAGCGCCUCGUGAAUUCAUCUCCGGGGGUAGAGCACUGUUUCGGCAAGGGGGUCAUCCCGACUUACCAACCCGAUGCAAACUGCGAAUACCGGAGAAUGUUAUCACGGGAGACACACGGCGGGUGCUAACGUCCGUCGUGAAGAGGGAAACAACCCAGACCGCCAGCUAAGGUCCCAAAGUCAUGGUUAAGUGGGAAACGAUGUGGGAAGGCCCAGACAGCCAGGAUGUUGGCUUAGAAGCAGCCAUCAUUUAAAGAAAGCGUAAUAGCUCACUGGUCGAGUCGGCCUGCGCGGAAGAUGUAACGGGGCUAAACCAUGCACCGAAGCUGCGGCAGCGACACUAUGUGUUGUUGGGUAGGGGAGCGUUCUGUAAGCCUGUGAAGGUGUACUGUGAGGUAUGCUGGAGGUAUCAGAAGUGCGAAUGCUGACAUAAGUAACGAUAAAGCGGGUGAAAAGCCCGCUCGCCGGAAGACCAAGGGUUCCUGUCCAACGUUAAUCGGGGCAGGGUGAGUCGACCCCUAAGGCGAGGCCGAAAGGCGUAGUCGAUGGGAAACAGGUUAAUAUUCCUGUACUUGGUGUUACUGCGAAGGGGGGACGGAGAAGGCUAUGUUGGCCGGGCGACGGUUGUCCCGGUUUAAGCGUGUAGGCUGGUUUUCCAGGCAAAUCCGGAAAAUCAAGGCUGAGGCGUGAUGACGAGGCACUACGGUGCUGAAGCAACAAAUGCCCUGCUUCCAGGAAAAGCCUCUAAGCAUCAGGUAACAUCAAAUCGUACCCCAAACCGACACAGGUGGUCAGGUAGAGAAUACCAAGGCGCUUGAGAGAACUCGGGUGAAGGAACUAGGCAAAAUGGUGCCGUAACUUCGGGAGAAGGCACGCUGAUAUGUAGGUGAAGUCCCUCGCGGAUGGAGCUGAAAUCAGUCGAAGAUACCAGCUGGCUGCAACUGUUUAUUAAAAACACAGCACUGUGCAAACACGAAAGUGGACGUAUACGGUGUGACGCCUGCCCGGUGCCGGAAGGUUAAUUGAUGGGGUCAGCGCAAGCGAAGCUCUUGAUCGAAGCCCCGGUAAACGGCGGCCGUAACUAUAACGGUCCUAAGGUAGCGAAAUUCCUUGUCGGGUAAGUUCCGACCUGCACGAAUGGCGUAAUGAUGGCCAGGCUGUCUCCACCCGAGACUCAGUGAAAUUGAACUCGCUGUGAAGAUGCAGUGUACCCGCGGCAAGACGGAAAGACCCCGUGAACCUUUACUAUAGCUUGACACUGAACAUUGAGCCUUGAUGUGUAGGAUAGGUGGGAGGCUUUGAAGUGUGG